rnacentral:rRNA from 1 species
ACUCAAAUGAAUUGACGGGGACUUGCACAAGCAGUGGAUUAUGUGGUUUAAUUCGAUGUUAAACGAAGAACCUCACCAGGGUUUGAAACCUAGUUGAAGACAUUAGGAAACUUUUGUCGCCGCAAGGCAAUUAGGCAGGUGAUGCAUGGCCGUCGUCAGUUCGUGGUUUGAAUUGUUCCCUUAAGUGGGGUAACGAACGCAACCCUCGUUGCCAGUUAUAAGUGUCUGGCGAGACUGCCCCGUGUUUUGUUCACAAGCUGUAAAAAGUUUGCGCGCAGUACACGGGGAGGAAGGCGAGGAUGACGCCAGGUCAGCAUGUCCCUCUGAUAUCCUGGGCUACACACAUAAUACAAUGGCCGUUACAACGCGACGCAAUGGGGUAACCCGGAGCUAACCGUAAGAAAAGCGGCCCUAGUUCGGAUUGAGGUCUGCAACUCGACCUCAUGAAGCUGGAAUUGCUAGUAAUCGCGGGUCAGCUAUACCGCGGUGAAUACGUUCUCAAGUCUUGUACACACCGCCCGU